GUAGCGUAGCUAACGCGAGAAGUUGACCGCCUGGGGAGUACGGCCGCAAGGUUAAAACUCAAAGGAAUUGACGGGGACCCGCACAAGCGGUGGAUGAUGUGGAUUAAUUCGAUGCAACGCGAAAAACCUUACCUGCUCUUGACAUGUACCGAAUGCCGAAGAGAUUUGGCAGUGCCCGAAAGGGAGCGGUAACACAGGUGCUGCAUGGCUGUCGUCAGCUCGUGUCGUGAGAUGUUGGGUUAAGUCCCGCAACGAGCGCAACCCUUGUCAUUAGUUGCCAUCAUUAAGUUGGGCACUCUAAUGAGACUGCCGGUGACAAACCGGAGGAAGGUGGGGAUGACGUCAAGUCCUCAUGGCCCUUAUGAGCAGGGCUUCACACGUCAUACAAUGGUCGGUACAGAGGGUCGCGAAGCCGCGAGGUGGAGCCAAUCUCAAAAAACCGAUCGAGUCCGGAUCGCACUCUGCAACUCGAGUGCGUGAAGUCGGACGCUAUAAU
rnacentral:rRNA from 1 species